rnacentral:rRNA from 1 species
UUCCGUAGGGUGAACCUGCGGAGGGAUCAUUACCGAGUGUAAAAACUCCCAAACCAUUGUGAACUUACCACUGUUGCUUCGGCGGCCUCGCCCCGGGCGCGUUCGCGCGGCCCGGACCCAGGCGUCCGCCGGAGGCUCCAAACUCUUGUCUUUUAGUGUAUUUCUGAGUGGCAUAAGCAAAUAAAUCAAAACUUUCAGCAACGGAUCUCUUGGUUCUGGCAUCGAUGAAGAACGCAGCAAAAUGCGAUAAGUAAUGUGAAUUGCAGAAUUCAGUGAAUCAUCGAAUCUUUGAACGCACAUUGCGCCCGCCAGUAUUCUGGCGGGCAUGCCUGUCUGAGCGUCAUUUCAACCCUCAGGACCCGUUCGCGGGACCUGGCGUUGGGGAUCAGCCUGCCCCUGGCGGCGGCUGGCCCUGAAAUCCAGUGGCGGUUCCCUCGCGAACUCCUCCGUGCAGUAAUUAAACCUCUCGCGGCAGGAUAGCGGUUGAACCACGCCGUUAAACCCCCCACUUMUCAAGGUUGACCUCAGAUCAGKUASGAAUACCCGCUGAACUUAAGCAUAUCAAUAAGCGGAGGAA